GGGACGGCGGUGCCGGAGAGUCCUGAGCCGCGGGGAGCACCGCGUCGGGCUGCGUUGGGCUCGGCAGGGCUGCGAGCGGGGUCUGCGGGGACAUGGCACCCCCCAAGGGGACCCCUCACCACCCGGUGCCACCCCAGCCCCUUGUGGGGUUGUGGCCACAGCGAGGGAUGGGGCAGCGCCAGGUGUUUGGGGUGGCUGUUGUGUCCCCAAAGCACGGUCCCCAGUCCCCACCGUCGGGCGUUCCAUGGUGCGGUGGCCGGUGUGCCGGGGCUGCUCCGUGUCUGCGUCAGCGGGUGGGGGUUCGGCUGCUGGGGGCUCGCACCGCCCCGUGGGGACGUCACCCCGUCACGGGGCUCGCCGUCCCACCCCGCCACCAGUGCCUGUGCUGCUGCAUUGCUGUCGGCAGCGGGAGAGGGCAGCGCCUCGAGGCCCGCGGUGGCACCCGUCCCGCUCGCCCAUGUCGGUGGGUGCGCAGGGCGCCGCGCCGCUGCCGCAGCUGAACGCGGUGCUGUCGCUGGGCGCCGACGUCCUCCCCGAGUACAAGCUGCAGGCGCCGCGCAUCCACAAAUGGACCAUCCUGCACUACAGCCCCUUCAAGGCGGUGUGGGACUGGCUCAUCCUGCUGCUGGUCAUCUACACGGCCAUCUUCACGCCCUACUCGGCCGCCUUCCUGCUCAACGACCAGGAGGAGGCCCAGCGGCACAACUGUGGCUACUCCUGCAGCCCCCUCAACGUGGUCGACCUGAUCGUGGACAUCAUGUUCAUCAUCGACAUCCUCAUCAACUUCCGCACCACCUACGUCAACUCCAACGAGGAGGUGGUGAGCCACCCCGCCAAGAUCGCCAUCCACUACUUCAAGGGCUGGUUCCUCAUCGACAUGGUGGCCGCCAUCCCCUUCGACCUGCUCAUCUUCGGCUCCGGCUCUGAGGAGACCACCACCCUGAUCGGGCUGCUGAAGACGGCGCGGCUGCUGCGCCUGGUGCGGGUGGCCCGCAAGCUGGACCGGUACUCGGAGUACGGGGCGGCCGUGCUCUUCCUGCUGAUGUGCACCUUCGCCCUCAUCGCCCACUGGCUGGCCUGCAUCUGGUACGCCAUCGGCAACGUGGAGGGGCAGCGCAUCGGCUGGCUGCACUCGCUGGGCGACCAGAUCGGCAAGCCCCUGAACGACAGCAACCCCCUGUACGGCCCCACCAUCAAGGACAAGUACGUCACGGCGCUCUACUUCACCUUCAGCAGCCUGACCAGCGUCGGCUUCGGCAACGUCUCGCCCAACACCAACUCUGAGAAGAUCUUCUCCAUCUGCGUCAUGCUCAUCGGCUCCCUGAUGUACGCCAGCAUCUUCGGGAACGUCUCGGCCAUCAUCCAGCGCCUGUACUCGGGCACGGCGCGCUACCACACCCAGAUGCUGCGCGUCCGCGAGUUCAUCCGCUUCCACCAGAUCCCCAACCCGCUGCGGCAGCGCCUGGAGGAGUACUUCCAGCACGCCUGGUCCUACACCAACGGCAUCGACAUGAACGCGGUGCUGAAGGGCUUCCCCGAGUGCCUGCAGGCCGACAUCUGCCUGCACCUGAACCGCAGCCUGCUGCAGAACUGCAAGCCCUUCAAGGGGGCCACCAAGGGCUGCCUGCGCGCCCUGGCCAUGAAGUUCAAGACGACGCACGCGCCCCCCGGGGACACCCUGGUGCACGCCGGGGACGUGCUCACCGCGCUCUACUUCAUCUCCCGGGGCUCCAUUGAGAUCCUGCGUGGGGACGUGGUGGUGGCCAUCCUGGGGAAGAACGACAUCUUCGGGGAGCCGCUGAACCUGUACGCGCGGCCAGGGAAGUCCAACGCGGACGUGCGGGCGCUCACCUACUGCGACCUGCACAAGAUCCACCGCGAGGACCUGCUGGAGGUGCUGGACAUGUACCCCGAGUUCUCCGACCACUUCUGGUCCAGCCUGGAGAUCACCUUCAACCUGCGUGAUACCAACAUGAUCCCCGGCUCCCCGGGCAGCGACGAGCUGGACAGCGGCUUCAACCGCCUGCGCAAGCGCAAGCUCUCCUUCCGCCGGCGCACGGAGAAAGACGCCGACACUGCCGGGGAGCUGCGGAGCGGGCAGAAGGCGCUGCGGCUGGGCAGGAGCUGCCAGGCGCCGGGGGCCCCGCGGGGGCCGGCGGAGUGGGACCCCUGCCACUCCAGCUCGCCCUCCAGCUCACCCUCCAGCGACGAGGACGAGCACCCUGCGCCCACCCCAGGGGCUGCUGCGCUCUCACCCUUCCACAGCCCCCGCCCGGGCGGUGAAGCCCCCGCACCCCCCGACGCCGAGGAGCGCAAAGGCAGCGAUAUGUGCAACCCCCUCUCAGGAGCCUUCUCGGGGGUGUCCAACAUCUUCAGCUUCUGGGGGGAGAGCCGGGGGCGGCAGUACCAGGAGCUGCCGCGCUGCACCAUCCCGGCACACGCCGCCCUCAGCAUCCCGCUGCCCUCCAUGAGCCGCCGGCAGCGCUCCGAGGUGGAGACGCGGCUCGAUCUCCUCCAGAAGCAGCUCAAUAGGCUGGAGACGCGGAUGGCCGCGGACAUCAGCUCCAUCAUGCAGCUGCUGCAGCGUCAGGCCGCGCUCGUGCCACCCGCCUACAGCACGGUGUCGUCCCCACAUCAGCCGCCGGGUCCCCCCCCGUGCCCGCUGCAGCCCGUCCUCCCCAUCACCCCCAUCCAGCCGCUCUCUCAGGUUCCCAGCUUCCCGGUGCCGCUGGAGCUGCGGCGGGGCCCGGCCCCCCCCGAGCCGCCCCCCCCCGACGUGGUGCUGCUGCUGGAGCCCGCGGCCGCCCCUCGCCGCCGCUCGCUGCCCGGACAGCUGCCGCCGCCGCCGGGCGCUCAGCCCCUGCAUAGACACUGCUCCGACCCCGGCAGUUAGUCGGCGGGGGGGGGGGACGGGGCCGGGACCCCCCAGCGACGGACGCGGGACCCCGUCCCAGGACGCUGGCGCUGCCGGGGCUCGCGGCUGCCGUCCCCACGGACAAUGGGGCCGGGCGGGCGCCCACGUUAGCUGGCCUAACCCGGGGCCGGCCCCCGCCGUGCCGGCGGCUUCCAGGGCUCGGCUGGCAGGACUGGGGGCGCGGGCUGCUCCUCGCCCUUCCUCCUCCUCCUCCUCUUCCUCCUCCUGCCCCCCGUAGUGCUGCAGCGGGGCGCAGCCCCCCGCCUCCCCCCCCCCCCGGACCCCGCCGGGCCGGGGCCGCGCUGCCCCCCCCCCCGGGGCCGGGGCCGUGGGGCUGGGGGCGCGGGGGGGAGCGGGGGGGGGGGGGGGGUCCCGGCUGAGCCUCCUGCCCGCCGUGGCGCGGGGCUGGCGGCUGCACACGCGUGGGGGCCCUCCGGACGCGUCCCCGUCCUCGCCCUGGCCCGGCGCCCCCCCCCAUGCGCCGUGGGUCGGGGCCACGUCCCCUCCCCACGCCCCCCGUUCCUAGGGGACGCCCCCAGCCGCGCCCCCCCCCCGCGCCCCGUGGCUGCCCCCCACACCCAGCGGCUGGCACCGGGCAGGAGGAAGCGGCGGGGGGGGCCCCCUGCCCUGGCCCCCCCCUGCCUGCACCGACCCCCGGGGCCGGUGCCGCCACACGCACAAGGGGGAGGGGGUGCCCCGGGGCGGGGGGGGCGCGGGUAGGGUCUGGCCGGGGGCCGUGGGGUACGCGCCCGCCCCCCCCGGCUCCCCGUAGCGUGUGCUGUGUUCGUGCCGUCGUCCCGUAGCCGGGCACUGCCCGGGUCUCUGCGUGCCCCCCCGCCUCUCACCCAGCCCCGCAUGUCGCCUUCUGCGGUAGGAGCCCCCCCCAACCCCCCCGCACCCCAAUAAAUCCGACCGAGAACGCG